rnacentral:rRNA from 1 species
GGGGAAUAUUGGACAAUGGGCGAAAGCCUGAUCCAGCCAUGCCGCGUGUGUGAAGAAGGUCUUCGGAUUGUAAAGCACUUUAAGUUGGGAGGAAGGGCUGCAAGUUAAUACCUUGUAGUUUUGACGUUACCAACAGAAUAAGCACCGGCUAACUUCGUGCCAGCAGCCGCGGUAAUACGAAGGGUGCAAGCGUUAAUCGGAAUUACUGGGCGUAAAGCGCGCGUAGGUGGUUUGGUAAGAUGGAUGUGAAAUCCCCGGGCUCAACCUGGGAACUGCAUCCAUAACUGCCUGACUAGAGUACGGUAGAGGGUGGUAGAAUUCCAGGUGUAGCGGUGAAAUGCGUAGAGAUCUGGAGGAAUACCGGUGGCGAAGGCGGCCCCCUGGACGAAGACUGACGCUCAGGUGCGAAAGCGUGGGGAGCAAACA